GCCUAGCUGGCUCAGUCAGUAGAGCACGUGACUCUUGAUCUUGGGGUCAUGAGUUCAAGCCCCACGUUGGGCA
rnacentral:tRNA from 1 species